rnacentral:rRNA from 1 species
GACAGGUCGGGCGUUAGCCACUGCAUUACAUGGCGUUCUGCACUUCGCUGUAAACGUGUCAAUAUCAAUGGUGCUACAGCAUUUGGAGUUUCAGGAACUCCCGCUGACUGUGCCUCUUUAGGCAUCUCUGGGAAGCUCUUUGAUGGUUUGGUUCCUGAUUUGGUGCUUAGCGGAAUCAACAUUGGCAAUAAUUGUGGAUUACAUGUUGUAUAUUCUGGAACAGUUGCUGGUGCUAGGGAGGCAUUUAUAUACGGGAUUCCUGCAUUAUCUAUGUCAUACAAUUGGGUUGCUGGUCAGAGCAGUGUUAAUGACCUCAAAGUGGCUGCAGAGGUUUGUAUCCCUCUGAUAAAUGCUGUCAUGGUCGAGAUCAAGAGUGGAACCUACCCUAAAGGAUCAUUCCUGAAUAUAGAUGUGCCAUCUGAUGCUGCACACCACAAGGGAUACAAAAUUACAAAGCAAGGAAAAUAUAUGGCCAGAAUUGGAUGGGAGCAAACAGUCUACCAAAAGCCUUCUGUAGAAAGUUACCAGACGGCAAGCAUGGAUAUUGACGGUGAAAAGGACAGAGAUAUAGACACUUCAUCGGCGAAUGACCUACUGUUUAAAAGAGUGAUAGUAAAGAGAAGUUAUGAUGAAGAGGAAGGGGAGGACAUGGACUACAAAUCCCUUGCAGAUGGAUAUAUUACUGUUACUCCUUUGGUUGCUCUCUCCCGCGCAGAAGCAGAUGUCAUACCCUACUACAAGGCUUGCUUGUCUCGCAUUUGA